AGCUUUGCACAGUGGCAGUAUAUCAUAGCCAAGGAGGUUUAUCCGAGGGGCAAUUAUUGCUAAUUGAAAACUUUCCCUAAAUGCU
rnacentral:snRNA from 1 species